CCGUUUCCCUCCUUUUCCUGCUAGGAUUGGAAAUCCUGUAUUUUACAUAUCCAUACGAUUGAGUCCUUGGGUUUCCGAAAUAGUGUAAAAAUAAGUGCUUCGAAUCAUUGCUAUUUGACCCGGACCUGUUCUAAAAAAGUCGAGGCAUUUCGAAUUGUUUGUUGACACGGACAAAGUCAGGGAAAACCUCUGAAAUUAUUUCAAUAUUGAACCUUGGACAUAUAAGAGUUCCGAAUCGAAUCUCUUUUGAAAGAAGAUCUUUUGUCUCAUGGUAGCCUGCUUCAGUCCCCUUACGAAACUUUCG
rnacentral:sRNA from 1 species